CCCGCUCAGAUUGAACGCUGGCGGCAGGCCUAACACAUGCAAGUCGAGCGGAUGAAGGGAGCUUGCUCCUGGAUUCAGCGGCGGACGGGUGAGUAAUGCCUAGGAAUCUGCCUGGUAGUGGGGGAUAACGUCCGGAAACGGGCGCUAAUACCGCAUACGUCCUGAGGGAGAAAGUGGGGGAUCUUCGGACCUCACGCUAUCAGAUGAGCCUAGGUCGGAUUAGCUAGUUGGUGGGGUAAAGGCCUACCAAGGCGACGAUCCGUAACUGGUCUGAGAGGAUGAUCAGUCACACUGGAACUGAGACACGGUCCAGACUCCUACGGGAGGCAGCAGUGGGGAAUAUUGGACAAUGGGCGAAAGCCUGAUCCAGCCAUGCCGCGUGUGUGAAGAAGGUCUUCGGAUUGUAAAGCACUUUAAGUUGGGAGGAAGGGCAGUAAGUUAAUACCUUGCUGUUUUGACGUUACCAACAGAAUAAGCACCGGCUAACUUCGUGCCAGCAGCCGCGGUAAUACGAAGGGUGCAAGCGUUAAUCGGAAUUACUGGGCGUAAAGCGCGCGUAGGUGGUUCAGCAAGUUGGAUGUGAAAUCCCCGGGCUCAACCUGGGAACUGCAUCCAAAACUACUGAGCUAGAGUACGGUAGAGGGUGGUGGAAUUUCCUGUGUAGCGGUGAAAUGCGUAGAUAUAGGAAGGAACACCAGUGGCGAAGGCGACCACCUGGACUGGUACGGACAGGUGAUCUGCCCAGUUCGUAAAUGAG
rnacentral:rRNA from 1 species